rnacentral:rRNA from 1 species
UGAGUAACACGUAUCCAACCUGCCGUCUACUCUUGGACAGCCUUCUGAAAGGAAGAUUAAUACAAGAUGGCAUCAUGAGUCCGCAUGUUCACAUGAUUAAAGGUAUUCCGGUAGACGAUGGGGAUGCGUUCCAUUAGAUAGUAGGCGGGGUAACGGCCCACCUAGUCUUCGAUGGAUAGGGGUUCUGAGAGGAAGGUCCCCCACAUUGGAACUGAGACACAGUCCAAACUCCUACGGGAGGCAGCAG